rnacentral:rRNA from 1 species
AUAAACGCUGGCGGCGUGCCUAAUGCAUGCAAGUCGAACGGUUCCUUCGGGGGCCGUGGCGAACGGGUGAGUAACGCGUAGGUGACCUGCCAUCGAGUGGGGCAUAACCCGGGGAAACUCGGGCUAAUUCCGCAUACGGUCUCUUCGUCAAGGAGAGAAGAAAGCCGGAAGGCGCUUGGGGAGGGGCCUGCGUCCGAUUAGCUGGUUGGUGGGGUAACGGCCUACCAAGGCGGUGAUCGGUAGCCGGUCUGAGAGGACGGCCGGCCACACUGGAACUGGGACACGGUCCAGACUCCUACGGGAGGCAGCAGCAAGGGAUCUUGCGCAAUGGCCGAAAGGCUGACGCAGCGACGCCGCGUGGGGGAUGAAGGCUCUCGGGUCGUAAACCCCUUUUGGAUGGGACGAAGACUGACGGUACCAUCCGAAUAAGCCCCGGCUAACUACGU